rnacentral:misc_RNA from 1 species
GAAGAUUGCGGCUCUACCCAUUUCAUUGCCCUUCUCUUGCAUCUUGGGCCUAUCGGCAUCGGUGACUGCUUCAACAAUGGUGAUGAGAUGGUACAUUUGGGUCUAUGCAUCGGUGCAGUAUCUUCUGGUUGUUGGCUUUGCUCAUGCCUUCUACUCACAUCUUCAUAUGCAACCGAUCAUGGCUAUAGUCCUGGCCACUUUUGCUGGAUUUGGAAUUACAAUGGGUGUGAGCUCGAUUGGG